rnacentral:lncRNA from 1 species
AACCAACUGAAGACAUGUAGAUAAAAGAGGCAUAAGACAAAAAAUAAACAGAGCCUCAAUUACCUUGAGAAAAUAUGAAAUAGUAUAAUAUGUAUAUAAUUAGAGACCCAGAAAAAGGAGGGAAGAAAAAUUAUUUAAGAAAUAAUUGCCAUUUUUUUCCCCAAGGAUCUCAACAGGACAAACACAAAGAAAAUAUCAAGGUGCAUCAUAGACAAAUUAUUGAAAAUCAGCAAUAAGGAGAAAACCUUAAAAACAGCAAGAUAAAAAGAUGCAUUAUGUGUAAAAUUAAAAAAGAAAACAAUGAUUGCUGAGUUCUCAUCAUACCAAUGCACAAAAGACAACAGAACAAUAUCUUUAAUGUGUGAAAAGUAAGAAAAAAAUGUCAAACUAAAUUUUACAUUCAGGAAAAAUAUUCUUUGAAAAUAGAAGACAAUGAGAUUUCUGAUUUGUGGUUAUCACUCCAUUCUCAUAAUAAGAAAAAAUCUGAAAAAACUGGAAAUCCACAACUCUUCUUAAAAUUGAGGUAACAGGGCAAGCCACUACCUUGAAUCUUAGAGACAGGAGGAUACAAAGAAUUCAGCUUAAAGAAAGAAGGAAGCCUUGGAGGAGAAGCCUGGUGCUGGAGCCUGUACCACUUUCCACAACAUCAACUGUGCUACUGUAUAAUAACGGGGCAUUAUAGCCAAAAGAACUGUAAGCCUCAGACCCUAUUUAAGGAAGAGUCUCCAGGGAAAUCUAAAAAUAACAGGGAAGACUAAAACAAGGACACCCAGAGAAAAUGUUAGCCUCUGAUAUGUACAGCUAUAGCAACUGGCAAACACAAUGUAACUCCUAGCCAGAUCAACAUUAAACCUCACACAAAAGGUCUAUUUACUUCAUUUCCUUCUAAUUGAUACAUCCUCUCAGGCUGUCAACAAGAAACUAAAGAUGUGAAAAUGCAAAAACUCUGUCUGAAGAGAGAAAGCAUGCAUUAGACUCAGACUGGCAGAAAUUUUGAAUGAUCAAACCAGAUAUUUAAAAUAACUAUGAUUAAAAUGCUAGCAGAAUGGAAAAAGUAAACAACCUGCACAAAUGGAAGGCAAAACAAAGACAUUUUCAAAUAAGCAAAAGGUGAUAGAAUGUGUCAUCCACAGACCUGCACUAUAAAAAACAGUAGAAGAAGUUCUUCAGUAUGAAAAUGAAUGAUACAAGAUGGAAACUGAGAUCUACAAAAUGAAACAUCAUUGGAAAUAGUAAAUACAUGGAGUUUCACCUGCCACCUGGAUCGUUUCCUAUUUUUCUGCAGCCACUUCAGGGCGGGGACCCAGUAUCACGAAGCUGCAAGAUUUGCUGCCAGUUUUCCAUCCAUCCCCCAGGGCUGAGAUGAGGUGAGAGGCCGCAAAGACUGUCUAUGAAGAUAGGCAAUUCCAUUCAUUCUGAAGUCCUCACAUAGUAGUUAUUCAGUGAAUGUACCCUGGGAUCCACUUUUCACCUUUCUCCUUACCUGCUUUGUGCUUCGGGAAACUGACUUCAACAGACAGCAUCAUCUGGGCUUCUUUACCCUGGAGUGUUCAGCUGAGUUCAGCCAAUGGAAUACCCUAGUAGAAGACUGGAAGGAUAGAGGAGAGAAAGAUUGGAAUAUUUAUUCCCAUCUCAUACUACAGUUUUUGUCGUGAUGGUUCUUCCUAUUGGACAGCUUCCACCUAUAACUACAGUUCUCUCCUGGUUCCAGAAACUGCUUUCUCUACUUCUGACCUAGGAGUAGCCACAGCUCCCAGCUGUUGUUAGACCCCAAGGUGUAUUUUGUCAUCUCUUGUUACUUCCUUUAACCCUGCCACAGCUCUGAAAAUAGUCCAGUAAUUAAAUACUUUUUGAGCUA